AUACGGAGGACGCGAGCGUUAUCCGGAUUCAUUGGGUUUAAAGGGUGCGCAGGCGGCCGUGCAAGUCAGCGGUGAAAGCCCGGGGCCCAACCCCGGAAGUGCCGUUGAUACUGCAUGGCUUGAAUGCGGUCGAGGCGGGCGGAACGGGGCGUGUAGCGGUGAAAAGCGAAGAUGUGCCACAGAACGCCGAUGGCGGAGGCAGCUCGCCAGGCCUGCAUUGACGCUCGGGCACGAAAGCGUGGGGAUCGAACAGGAUUAGAUACCCUGGUAGUCCACGCCGUAAACGAUGGGCGCUCGUCGUCGGCGGCAGACAGUCGGCGGCCAAGCGAAAGCGAUAAGCGCCCCACCUGGGGAGUACGGUCGCAAGGCUGAAACUCAAAGGAAUUGGCGGGG
rnacentral:rRNA from 1 species